AAGACCAGGGCUUUAAAAAGCCCGCUCCUAAAUGACCAGAGGAGCUAGCAAACAGGAGCGGCUAACAGGGGAGUUUUGCGAGGGAGUUUACAGGGUGAGCGUGAGGGGGGACUACAUACAUUUAACAUUCCUUAAACUUAAGCCCCAAACCACCCCCUGAUAAAAAUAAAACAACAACAAAGGAAUAAGCUGCAAGAGUAAAAAGAGAAUGCAGGCAGAAGUCCAGCAACAGAGUAGGGGCUACCCAGCAGGGCCUGCUUUAGGCUGAUUCCACCGAUUCCCCUGAAUUGGGCCCUGCCCCUAAGAGGGCCCCGCGCAGAUCGAGCAGUGUCCCUGCCUGAAGCAAAGCUCCAUGGCUCUCCCGGAAGCAGCAGCUGUUGCUGCUAGGAAAGGAGAGACGCUGGCCGGCAGGGGCCUGAGGCAGAGGCAGCAGCGGCUGUUGCAGGUCAGGAGGGGGGAGAAGGCACAUGUGCUUUGCAGCCUUCCCCUCCCCUCCCCCCGGCACUCACCUGGAGGAGACACCUAGGGGGCUUCCGGUCUGGUGGGAGACAGGAAUCUCUGCAGUGGACCUCACUCACCUUAGCAGCUGCUGGGGCUUCGGUCGGUGGUGGCUUAACAGUGAAUUGGCCAAAUUCAGCGGUGGGUCCCAGAGGAGUCUGGAGGGAUUCCAACAAUAUGCUGAGAGAAGUAAUGAAGGAACAGUUUUUCGAUGGGAACAAUGUCAUUGGAGACCACAGCAAGAAAAAACCCAUAGAAAAACCCAUGGAGAAGUUACAGGAACUCCUAAAUCAGAGGCAGUGUGGUCUAGUCAAUACAUCAUUUGUCUGAAAGUCAGGAGAUGUGAGUUCUAUCUCUUGCUCUGAAGCUGACUUGCUGUGUCAACCCUGGGUAAGUCAUUUAACCUCCGAGUACCUUUGUUUUCCCAACAGUACAAUGGGGAUUAAAAUGCCCACUUUUGGAAAGGACUUUGAGAUCUAUGGAUGAAAAGGGGUGUAUAUAUAUAAAUGUUAGUUAAUAUUAUAAAUAUUCUGCACAUAUCUUUUCAUGAAGUUUCCAGGCAAUGAUCAGUGAGAUUGUGGCAUGAAGUGAGAUUUGCCUUUCUGUGGAAUAGAUACAGGGAGUGUGGUCUCCAACCUCACAAGUGUCCCAAGAUCCAUGGUGAAAUCUCAUAGUUCAGGGCAUAAACACUGAGCUGGGGCAUUCACACAGAGGACUAAACCUCUGUGCUGCUCCCUGAAUCCUCCCAUCCUCCCUGGCAGGAUGAGUCCUCUAUUUACUAUUUGCUAUUCAUGGUGUGUGAGUGGUCUCCUAAAUCACAUGAUUUUGCUUCUGCUGCCUGAAUGGAUGACAAACUUUUUAAGCCAGGGAAUAAUGAUUAAUGCAGAGUGAAUAGUGAUGAGUACUCUUGAUUGAGCAGGUAUCCCCAUGUUCACUUAUGAAUGCUGGUAUCCAUACAAAGAACAGCCACUCCACUAACAUUCGUGUGUAUAUUUGUGAAUAAGGAAGAACAAAGGGGUAAAACCACAGUGGAAAUGAAGAACAGUUUGGAAUUCAAAUAGAUGUUUAUGAAUGCUGUUUUUCAGCAUCCAACCAGCCGUAACAAAUACAAAGCACAUGAGAUAGUGAUCAUUAAAGAAAGGCAUAAAAAGCUUUAUUUUUCACCCAACAUGCCAUCUCUGAUUAGAAAGGAAAACAGUAGGCUCCAUUGUGCAAUACAAUAAAUCAUGGCAUCAAAGUAAGCCUCAAAGUGCCCUCUCAGUUGCAGGCAAGCUGUACCAGUCACAAGGAGAGAGACAAUGAAAAUACAAUAAAUUGAAAUAGUAAUUUUUCAGCACUGUGUAAAUACUAUAGACAUUUUUAAUUCAAAGAUAAGCAGGAUCAGCAGCAGUGAAAGCUGUAGAUUUGCUGAAUAUCAAUGGGAAAACUGUAAAACGUAUUCUCCCUAAACGAAGCUGAAAGACCAAAUGAGCAAAGACAUUCUGCUCAAAACUGAGAGAAUUCUUUUAAUAUAUCUCAAAGAGUCAGCGGGCUUAAUUUUUUGUUCUUUUAUCAUCUCUGUCUCACUGUAACUGAAAUAUCUGGUUUAGUAGGUGCUGUACCAUGCAUAUAAAAGUCACUUUAUGGUCUUGUAAAAAUAGAAAUGAUAUUUAAGCAAUUCUAAUUAUUAUUUGAAUAUGCAUCCUUAAAAAAAAAUCCCAGAGUGCAUGGUUGGGAGUCAAGACCUUAAGCCCUGCAAUGGAAGGAUCCAUUUCAUGUUGAAGAAGAGAGGAUUCAGUAUGCAUUCUAGUCUUCAGUCUCUCACAGGGGAAGAUUUAAAUAAUGUAUGGUGGGUUUCUUUGUGAUGUGUUUCAUUUUUUGGUUAGUAUUUUACAUUUUGUUAAAGAAGUAUUACCUGUAUUUUUAAGGGCCACAUUCAUAUUUUAAAAAUCAUGAAUGUUAUGUAAUUCAUCUGCCUAUUCAGUCAGAUGUCGCUAUCAACAAAUUCAGAAAAAUCGAGGAUGGCUAACUUGUUGAUGAAGUGUUUUAGAACACAUAGCUGCAUGCAUAAGAAUGGACCUGUUUGAACAUCUUUUUUUUUCUCAUUAAACAUUCAUCUGAGGAAUUUUUCUGGGAGCCUUAUUCAGUAAAGUAGCACUAGUCACUUUUUCAUUCCCAAAGUAGCAAUAAAAUGGAAGUGCAGAGGGGAAACCACAUCAGAGAGACUCAUUCUUUCUUCCUUCAGCCAGAUGUAACAAAUUACCUGCUGUGUUAUCUUUUU